CCGCCCGUGAUUGUGAUUAGGAUUCUGAUUAUUAUUAUUUUUGCAAUAUUAAUUUAUGUGGUGGUUGCCAACCACACCAGGUCAUCGGCUGUGCCGUUCCGUUUUUACAAUGUCAUUGUUCGUCUAUCUUUGCCAGCGACAUACCAUACCAGGCAGAACAAUUCCAGUACUUUAAAUGCUAAUCCACUAGAUGGCAGAAUGUACAAAUAACCUGAUUAUCAACCUGUUGCCGUUGAUACAAGGGUAUAAUAACUUUGCGUUCAACCGUUGUAUAUGUAAUAGGGGGUUGUCAGUUGAGGCAAGAUUGAUUUUAUGCAUUUAUUUAUUUAUUUUACCCAUGUAAAAUAUAUGCCUUUGCUUAAUAACGCUUUAGAAAUGCGGUGUAGUCAUUUUUUCCCCCUCCCGGUGUUUCUUCCCAGUAGGGUGUUGUCCUGCCCCCUUCUGGAUUUGUAUUACGCCGCUAGACUUCUGCACGGUACACAGUGUGGGAGAACUGCUGGAGCAAUCAAGAGACCACUGUUCAUGUGCACAGGGCAGGAUCUUGAACAACAGCAACAACAACAAAAAGAAAAGGAAACCCUUUCGAAACUUUUCUUUUGCAGUUAAUUUUGGUGAGUGACAGGCAGCCGACCGGUCUGGUUAAAAAUAAAGCUAUGAGGUCAGUUUGCUUUGUGUCUACAAGCCGAGGACUCUGAAAGCUAGCAGGUGGACUUCUGACUCUGGGAAGGUAGGCCCAAGUAUAGCUGAGAUGCCGCUACCGCCUCCACCACCUCCGCCACCACCUCCUCCGCCACCACCUCCUCUGCCACCCCCAUGCACUGCACCUCCACUAUUUCCAGUCGAGUCUCCUAAGGUCCAGUCCGGCGGAGGAGCCGCCACAAGCGCUCUGCUAGCUGACAUCCAGAAGGGAGCCCGACUCAAGAAAGUCACGCAGGUCAAUGACCGCAGUGCCCCUCUUGUGGACAAGCCCGCGGCUCCAAGUGGAGAUGUGUCCGGCAAUGUUGGCGGCGCUCAGGGUCCACGUGGAGGUGCGGCCCCCACGGGGCCAUCUUUAGGUGGGCUGUUUGCAGGGGGGUUUCCCACCCUAAGGCCGAUAGGGCAACGGGACUCGGCGGGCAAGACGGCAGUGUCCCGCUCGAGCUCAUCGGCCUCCCUCAAGCCGCUGUGGAACACGCCCACUUUGGCGGACUGUGUCGGCCCCCGUCCGCUCGCCUCCUCCUCCGCCCCACCCUCGCCGACUCACGCCAGCAAACAUCUCGCUCCUCUCCCCGUGACCGCUCCCCCUCUGCCCACACCACCCGCCCCGCCCUCUGCUCCUCCUCCUCCUCCUCCACCUCCGCCGGAAGCCUUCCAGGACCGGCCCACCAACAAGCCUCCCCCUCUACCUCCCUUCCCACCCCCUCCGGCUCCAUCUCAGGUCACAAAGCCCACUUGGCUUCCCAUCCAGCACUACCAACACACCACUAAUGCCCCACCCCUGACGCCUCCCCCUCCAACUCACAACCCUCCUUCUCUCCCUGGGGACCGCUCCUCUUGGUCCUUCUACCCACCAGCGCCCUCCGUGGUCCACUUUGAACCUGCAAGGUUCCCCAUCCUGCGUGACUCGAGCCCGCUCGGACCACCGCCCCCGGUGCCACCUCCCCCUCUCCCAAGCUCUUUCACCCCGAGCUGUCCAUCCACUCUCCCGCCACCCCCGCCCAGAAUUCCUGCCGUGCCCUCGCCGGCCUUACGCUUUCUACCGCCGUCAUACCCGUGCAACGCUCCGACCAGGCGACCGCCUGCUGUGCCGAGAAGUGCAGGUGCUUGUCGUCUGGCUCCUCCUCCAGCUCCUCCAGCACGUUCCUCCUCCACUGAGCUGUCCGGCCGCAUUCCUCCCCCUCCGCCGCCCUCCAUUGUCAGGAAUGGACACCUGCACAGUCAGGAUGACUUUGAAUCCAAAUUCCAGUUCCACCCAAAAGAAGAUUUUCCUCCUCCAGAUGAAUUCAAGCCUUUCCCUCGCAUUUACCCCAGUAAAGAAAACAGAGUAAAUCCAGCUCCCCAUGGGAUCAGGUCACACCUCAGAUGAGAUUCAUCCCACACAAUUCCUGGAUACAAAGGGUUGAAUAGCUUCACCUCAGACUUGGAAAGCUUCCAGUCGUCAUUGAGGUCCAUCUCCUGGAACGACUCGUGCGACCUCGGGCCGUUUCUGAUCUCGAGCAACUCAACGAUGAAGGUCAAGGUGCUUUCAGGGGGGAUUUUACCUAAAGGACGGACGGGACAGGAUCAGAGUAAGAGCUGAGGAAAAAAACGCCAACAAGCAUGAUAACCAUUAAAGAGUAGCUAAGGGUUAGUUUGAAGAAAGAAAAUUAGAAAGUGUUCAUUGUUGCAUUUUUGUGGGUGUGAAUCAUAAAUUGUUAUUGCUGAGUGAACUUACCGGGACACGGCUUAGUAUCGUUCACAUGCCUCCGCGGUAAGAAAAAAUCAAUCAGUAUGGAAGUCCUAAAAGAGUCAUUUAGAACAGCAGAGGUUUACAUGCAAGAUAAAAUAAAACAUGCCAUGCCAAACAAAGUAAGAAGGUAGGACAUACACUUAAAACAGACAGAUGCUCGACUAUACCUUUGCCUUCUUUGCCGUAGGCCAAAGCUGGAGGUAUAAUCAACUUUCUUUUCUCUCCUGUACACAUUUUCUGGAGACCUUGGUCCCAGCCUUUGAUCACCUCCCUGAUGCCCAAUAUGAACCACAUUGCAUGUUUGUCGCCCUCAGUAGGAUCACCACGACUGUGGACGCACACAGGGGGGAAAAAAAGUGUCACUCAUUUGGUACCAGAGACGGCAAAAUUCCAACACACUUGACGACACACCUUAUACUACUGCUACUACCAACCUGUCAUGAAACAUGGUACCGUUCUCGAAGUAGCCUUGAUGGUGCACCAGCAUCAUGUCUCCAUACUUGGAUUUACGAUGACAGAGGAAAGGUUUGUGCAGGACUUCUAUCUUGACCUCCGCCUCGGGCAGAGCUCCGCCGCAGACGGCGGCCACCAGAGAGGAGCAUAACCAGCUCAGCAGCGGCAGCGGCAGCAUUGCCUCUUGGCGUACGAGACCAAACGCCGGUGUGGAAAUACGCGAAAUGGAACGUCAAUACGCACAGGUUUGAGAGGCCAGCGGAUCGCGGAUACUUCUACGUGGCAGUGACGUUGCUCGGUUUUCGAGCUGGUGGCAGUGCCUCGUUGGAUAGUUUUGUGCUCUUGUAAAUCGCGCCUCGAUGGAAGUGUGGCAAGAUGCUGGCUGAAAGGCGGAAGAAGUCCCACUUGCAGUUUGGUGGAGUCUCAAAACUGAAGAGAAAAACAGCAUUGGAACGAUCAUACACACUAAAUUUGUGGAUCAGAAGUCAUGGACAGAGGUGGUCAAACGGUACCUUGACACAGGUGCAAGAUGUACAACUGCGAAAACAAGCAA